rnacentral:rRNA from 1 species
AGCCUGAACGCUGGCGGCGUGGCUAAGACAUGCAAGUCGAACGGGUGUAGCAAUACACCAGUGGCGGACGGGUGAGUAAUAAAUCGCUAAUGUACCCCGGAGCCAGGGAUAGCCUUCCGAAAGGGAGGGUAAUACCUGAUGAGACCACGAACAGGCAUCUGUUUGUGCUCAAAGCCGUAAGGCACUCUGGGAGCAGGCGAUUACGUAUCAGCUUGUUGGUGAGGUAACGGCUCACCAAGGCGACGACGCGUAGCUGGUCUGAGAGGACGGCCAGCCACAUUGGGACUGAGACACUGCCCAGACUCCUACGGGGGGCUGCAGUAACGAAUCUUCCGCAAUGCACGAAAGUGUGACGGAGCGACGCCGCGUGUAGGACGAAGUCCUUCGGGAUGUAAACUACUGUCAGGGUAAGAAGUUCUGAUCUACCCAGAGGAAGAGACGGCUAACUCCGCGCCAGCAGCCGCGGU